rnacentral:rRNA from 1 species
UACGGAGGGAGCGAACGUUGUUCGGAUUUACUGGGCGUAAAGGGUGCGUAGGCGGCGCGGUAAGUCGGGUGUGAAAUCUCGGAGCUUAACUCCGAAACUGCAUUCGAUACUGCCGUGCUUGAGGACUGGAGAGGAGACUGGAAUUUACGGUGUAGCGGUGAAAUGCGUAGAUAUCGUAAGGAAGACCAGUGGCGAAGGCGGGUCUCUGGACAGUUCCUGACGCUGAGGCACGAAGGUCAGGGGAGCAAACGGG